GUGAAUCAUCGAAUCUUUGAACGCAAAUUGCACUCUCCUCGGAGAGUAUGCCUGUUUGAGGGUCAGCCUAUAAAAAAUCGACAUCGUUGCUGUUUCACGGUGACGUUCGUCGGAAAUUGGGUCAUCUUAAAUCUUUUGGGUUUAAGCGACUUAAAAUUUUCUUUUUGGUUCCAUGAACGUUUCUAGAUUUUAUUUUUUUCCACUUUUAGGGUUCGGAUUUUUUUAAACGUUAACC
rnacentral:misc_RNA from 1 species